AAUUAGUUUUUUAAUUGGAAAAUAGUAUGAAAGGUUUCACCAAUAAUUUUUAUUUAAAUAUAUAAUUUUGAAAUUUUAAUUUUAGUGAAAAUACUAAAAAUAGAUAUUUAGACAAAAAGACCCUAUGAAGCUAUUAGUAUUUGAUUGUUUAUUAUAUUUAAAUUACUAAUUUUUUGGGGAAAAAUUUAAAUUAUUUAUUAAUACUUAAUCAUAUUUAAAAGAGCCUUUUGGAAAAAUGAAAAAGCUCCUCUAGGGAUAACAGCAUAAUAUUUACAAAAGUUCUUAUUAGAAUAAGUGU
rnacentral:rRNA from 1 species